rnacentral:tRNA from 1 species
UCCUACGUAGCUUAAGUUUAAAGCAUUGGUCUUGUAAACCAAAAAUGAGUCUUUUUCUCCAAGGAC